UCCCUGGUGGCUCAGAUGGUAAAGAAUCUGCCUGCAAUGCAGGAGACCCAGGUUCAAUCCCUGGGUCGGGAA
rfam:TPA: Bos taurus chromosome 21, whole genome shotgun sequence.